AUUUCAAGAAGAGGGAUGGGAAAGACCUAGCAGGAGCAGAGACCUCUUGACUAUUUCCUCCCAAACCGCAUCCUGUGAAUCAGACCUACUAAGGAAAAUGCUAAAGCAGAUAUUUCACUUGGAACACAUGAAUAAUCCUACACCAACACUUGAAGGCCGGGACUCUUUAGAUACAAGAAUUUGCUGGAAAACUCCAAUGAGCUGAAGCUCAGGAGAAGGAAGCUGAGGCUGACCUGCAGAGGACACACAGCAGUGAGAAGGGCUGAGCUGCACCAGCCAGCCCCAGCAGGAAGAUGUGCAGCAAAGACUUCCUGCCUGUAUCUCGGGUUCCCUGUUGCCCACCUGCCACUGCUGCAGCAGGAGUAGAGAUGCUGCAUGAAGACCACCGAGUGGUUUGGACUCUGCCAG